rnacentral:rRNA from 1 species
AUGACGGGAUCUAGAGUCAAUUCAUGGGCGUUGUCGAUCGCGGGAGAAGUGCCACCACCUAUGCAAAUAGCACAACCGUCACGAGAGGUGCACAAACAUCCAGAUGCACAUGUUCAGGUUAAUGUUUCUAUACCACCAUUUAAUGGGCGUUUUAGACCUGCUUUAUAUAUUGAAUGGGAGUUCGACAUAAAUAAUAUGUUUGCUUCCCAUAAUUUUGAUGAACAUAAAAAAGUUAAGGUUGCGGUUGGUUCUUUCACCGGUUAUGCUUUAGUUUGGUGGAGUGAAUAUUGUCGAUUACACCCUGAUUAUAUACCUACUACUUGGGAUGAUUUGGAACUUGCCAUGCGACAUACAUUUGUCCCCGCUUAUUAUACUCGUGACAUGAUGAAAAAGUUGUAA